CCCCUGGUGGUCUAGUGGUUAGGAUGCAGUGCUCUCACCACCACGGUCCAGGUUCGAUUCCCGGUCAGGGAA
rfam:Manacus vitellinus contig19106, whole genome shotgun sequence.